CUUAUCCCAAGGCGCGUGAGAGAACGCUGGUUAAGGAACUCGGCAAAUUUACACCGUAACUUCGGGAGAAGGUGUGCCCUUUGGUGUGUAGGACUUCGCGUCCGAAGCGCCGGGGGGUUGCAGAGAAACGGGGGUGGCGACUGUUUACUAAAAACACAGGACUCUGCGAACUCGUAAGAGGACGUAUAGGGUCUGACGCCUGCCCGGUGCUGGAAGGUUAAGGGGAGUUGUCAGCGCAAGCGAAGCAACGAACCGAAGCCCCAGUAAACGGCGGCCGUAACAAUAACGGUCCUAAGGUAGCGAAAUUCCUUGUCGGGUAAGUUCCGACCUGCACGAAUGGCGUAACGACUUCCCCACUGUCUCGACCAGCGACUCAGCGAAAUUGUAAUCGCGGUCAAGAUACCGUGUACCCGCGGCAAGACGGAAAGACCCCAUGAACCUUUACUGCAACUUGACAGUGAAGCUCGGGACGGACUUAGGAUAGGUGGGAGGCUGUGAAGCCGGGAUUCUGGUCUCGGCAGAGCCAACGUUGAAAUACCACCCUGUUUGUUCUGGGCUUCUAACCCAGGCGUGUAAGCCACGUCGGGGACACUGUCUGGUGGGCAGUUUGACUGGGGCAGUCGCCUCCCAAAAAGUAACGGAGGCGCGCGAAGGUUCCCUCAGGCUGAUUGGAAACCAGCCGUAGAGUGUAAUGGCACAAGGGAGCUUGACUGUGAGACCGACAGGUCGAGCAGGUGCGAAAGCAGGUCAUAGUGAUCCGGCAGUUCUGUAUGGAAGGGCUGUCGCUCAUCGGACAAAAGGUACUCUGGGGAUAACAGGCUGAUCGCGCCUGAGAGUUCAUAUCGGCGGCGCGGUUUGGCACCUCGAUGUCGGCUCAUCGCAUCCUGGGGCUGGAGCAGGUCCCAAGGGUUUGGCUGUUCGCCAAUUAAAGCGGUACGCGAGCUGGGUUUAGAACGUCGUGAGACAGUUCGGUCCCUAUCUGCCGUGGGCGCAGGAUACUUGAGAGGGUCUAACCAUAGUACGAGAGGACCUGGUUGGACGUACCUCUGGUGAUCCGGUUGUUCCGCCUGGAGCAUCGCCGGGUAGCUAUGUACGGAAUGGAUAACCACUGAAAGCAUCUAAGUGGGAAGCCGGCCUCAAGAUGAGGUAUCCCGGGGCGUUAGCCCCCUGAAGGCCCGUCGAAGACUACGACGUAAUAGGCUGGGUGUGGAAGCGCAGUAAUGCGUGGAGCUAACCAGUACUAAUCGGCCGUGAAGCUUGAUCAA
rnacentral:rRNA from 1 species